CUCUGAAGCGCUGAAACACUAACUCAUUUCCGGGUUUUGGCGUUACAAAAUGACGUCAUCCCUGCGCCAGUCUAUGGUGACUGGCUGUAAGUUUAGGAAACGCUUGAUUUGAUCUGCAGCGGAGUUUUCUGUACAUCUUCUACUUGCAGGCAUUCUGACCAAGACUCAGGAAAUGCCCAACAGGUUUCUCUUGCUGUGUGUGACUAUGAGGAGGAGAAAUCUGCUGAAGUUCUGACUUACACAACAGUGAUUAUUUACAGCAAUGCCACCAGCUCUAAUGAUGCAGUUCCAAGCAUUAAUGAUGAAGUCUCAUGUGACUAUACUUCAAUUUUCUGGAAAGAUGCAGUGAAGACACGUCUAUCAGAGUUCUGGUAGUCAUGAAGUACAGCACUCUGGACAAAACGUUUGAUUCUCUUUAUUCUUCAAAGCUCCAAUCCCAUAGUUUCUGCCUACUUAGAUUCUGAGCUAAUUUGCAUGAUUGCAUAAUUUCACUGUGUGU
ensembl:lncRNA